UUAGAGUAUCUCAAAACACUUUUCAAAUAAAAUUUUACUACUUAUUUGGAAAGCGACAUCCGCAUUUAAGCCCCAAAAAAUACUUUAAUUAAGAUUUUUUAAAUAAGAAAUGAGUUUCUCUCUUCAAUUUUAUAGAGUUGUUUUCUUCAUCUUCAAUUUAUAUUUUAUUAUUUUUUAUUGGAGAGAGAGAGAAGUACUUCAAUUACUAUUUAUUUUUCCAUUGAAAAAUAUUUAUUUGAUUAAAAUAAUAUUAACUUAUUUAUAUUUGAAGAAUCUUUUGAAGAAUAACACAUUUUUUCAUUCUUAAAGAGGUAGUCUUGAAAAACACUCUAAUAUUAAAUCAUACGCAUGAAUGAAUAUGAUGGCCGAGUUAGCUAACCUAGCUAGCUAACAACUAAUGCAAGUGAUGGAAGUAGAAAAAAUAAUUCACAAAAACAAACGAAAUUAAUCAAGGUCAACGAAUAUGGACAACAUUGCAUUGCCUCAUGUCUUAACAUGGAUACCGUGUUAAGCUAAGAGGCGUAUUGACCGGAAAAUUGACAACUAAUUAAACAAGGGCAAUGCUUGACUGUGGCCACCGUCCACCACCACCGCCGUGGCUUAAUAAGUCAUCUCUCAUACAUAAAAUUUGACUGUUAGCCCAUGUGACGUCGUAUUAGUACGAAGCUUCAACGAUAGUACUAUAAUAACAUUAAUCAAUUAAUAAGCUUGCCGCAAAUUCAGCUCUCUCUCUCUUGACUGUGAAAGUUGAAGUUGAAUUAAUCCUUUUUAUACUCCUUGUUUUAUUAAUUAUUUAAUAUAUAUCAAAUAGCUGUGGAGAUAGUUGACAUUUUGUUUGUGUGUGUCUGCGUAAUUGUGAGCUAUGAGUUAAUGAGAUUUUUUGAAUAGGUUAAUUAAUUUAAUAUUUUAAAAUGUACAAAAGACUUCUGGGGUCUUGUAAUAGUAUAAUUGGAAGAGAAGUUCAAUGGAGAUUAUUAUGUUCAAGUUUUAUAUAUAAGUAUUAAGAAUAUUAAGGGCUGGCAGAAGGAAAGAGAGAUAUUUGAUCCUUCAAAUUAAGCUGCAGCAAUUUAAAUGGAGGUUUUAUUGAAAAUGCCUUGUGUUGUUAAGGAAGAAAAGAGUGCUGAAUCUAUCAACCAUGAACAUAUUUGCAGCCAAGAAGCUAGAAAGGUACAAAUACAUAUCUAUACUAUCAUCAAAUCCCCUUGUGUGUCGAUGACUUUUUUUUUUUUUUUUAAAUAAAGAGUUGAUCAUGUUUUAGAUGUCGGAUUUAAUUAUGAGAAUUUACGUUUCGAUCUUCAUGAAUUGGAUUUAGAUGGAGGAGUUCUACCAUUUGAUGAUAUAGCAAGUGAAAGUCACUCAGUUUCUUUGAAUCUUGAAUUUGUAGAAGCUGUCAUCAUUCUUUUUUUUCUUCCUUUUGAGUUUCAUGAAGUACUGAAAUAACCAAGGAAAAAUAAACCAAUUAUUAAUAUAUGACUGUUGUUCUUCUAUUUCAGGUGGGAAUUGGAGGACAAAUAUAUGAGGUCAGUGGUCUGAAAUCAUCUUCACCCAGCAGGCAUGAGAAAUUAGCAGCCGACGGGAAAGAGGUACCUAACAAAAUUUACGACUCCUUCCCCCAACCCCCCCACCCCCCGCCAUGGAGUAUAUUUAUUGAACUUACAUCAAAAUUACAUCAAAGAUUACAACUAAUAUACAGAACUAAUAUUUUGGCAAGCUAAAUUGUUUGUUCAUUUAAAUAAACAAAAUUACAUCAAAGAUUACAACUAUAUACAGAACCAAUAUUUUGGCAAGCUAAAUUGUUUGUUCAUUUAUAUAUCAUCUCUUUCUCUCUAUCAUACACAUGCAUACAUAUACAAACACUUGCAUCCACAAACUUUCAAUUUGGCAUUCUUUUGCUAUUAGCGAGAUGUUUCAUAUGUAGACAUAGCUCAUGUGCAUUAUGCAUGAAUAAUAAAUUAAUUAUAUAAUAUAUGUAUGUUCGUCGAGAAGAAUUCUAAUUGUUGUGGCGAAUAACUUCAUCACUUUUGUUUGCUGCAUAUGUGCGCGCAAUCUUGGGCGCGUUAGGUAGAUCUGAAUGUUCAUGAUUUCUAUUCCCAAUUAAUCUCCAAAUUAAUCAUAAGAUAAUUAAAUAUACUUUUCUUAGGGACCUUAUUUUGGUUAAUUUGUUACAAAUAUUAUAAGAUGGAUGGGGGGAUAUUAAUUUGUUAUUGAUUUUUUUUUUCCAAUUGAUCUUAGGAGGAUGAGCUUGAAUCUGCCAAAGCUGAGAUGGGUGAAGUGAGAGAAGAAAACGAAAGAUUAAAGAAGAUGCUAGAGCAAAUCGAAAAGGAUUACAAGUCUCUCCAAUUGCGCUUCUUUGAUAUCUUGCAAAAAGCUGACCCCGCCAAGAAAUCUACAAAUUCAACUCAAUACUGUUCCCACGAUGGUCAAAUCAUGGAGUCUGAACUUGUGUCACUUUGUCUUGGAAGAAGCAGCAGCCCGGGAGAGGCUAAAAAGGAAGAAAGAACAAGCAAUAAUGCAAGCAAAAGUAGCAGGAAAAAUGGUGAUGAUGAAGAGUUGAAGGCCAGUCUAAAUCUUGCGCUGGACCCAAAAAUUCAACCGUCUCUGGAGCUUGGUGUGUCGAAUCUAAGCCCCGAGAAUAGUUCAGAAGAGACAAAGGAAGAGGAAGCAGGAGAGGCAUGGCCACCAAGUAAGGUUUUGAAGACCAUGAGAGGUAAUGGAGAUGAUGAAGUUUCACCACACAGCAAUGUGAAGAGAGCUAGGGUUUCUGUGAGAGCAAGAUGUGAUGCCCCUACGGUUAGUCUAUCUUUCUUUAAUUUUCAUUGCAGUAAAUAUGUCUAGAUCAUUUUGAGAAUUUUGGCUAAAAGAAUUUUUCAUCCUUUAUACAGUUGAACGAUGGAUGUCAAUGGAGGAAAUAUGGGCAAAAAAUCGCAAAAGGAAACCCAUGUCCACGAGCUUAUUAUCGUUGUACGGUUGCACCAGGAUGUCCUGUAAGAAAACAGGUAUACUUUGUUAUUUCUCGAAAAUUAUUAUAAAAAUGUAAAUAAAAUUUCUUAUUGUUCCUAAUUAAUUAACGUGAGUAUGUAGAUUUUAAACCUUAAACAUCUUACACUAACUUAUGAUUUUCUUUAUCAGUUAAGCUAACUCGUUACGCUACCAUAAUUUUUUUAGGUACAAAGGUGUGCCGAAGACAUGUCUAUAUUAAUCACAACCUAUGAAGGAACACACAGCCACCCACUUCCAGUUUCAGCCACUGCCAUGGCUUCCACUACCUCAGCUGCUGCUUCCAUGCUAUUAUCUGGCUCUUCGACAUCUCAGCCAGGCCUCAGCUCCACAGCCCCAACUACUACUGCUGCCACAGCACCCAAUGGAUUAAACUUCAAUAUUUAUGAUACUUCAAGAACAAAGCCAUUCUACUCCUCAAAUAGUACCUCAGCUUUGUUCCCAACAAUUACCCUGGAUCUUACCAAUCCAUCCAGUUCCUUUUCUCACUUCAACAGGUUCUCUUCAAGUUUUGCUUCAAACCCAAGAUUCCCUUCAACAAAUCUCAACUUUUCUUGUUCCUCAGAAUCCACUUUGUUACCCACACUUUGGGGCAAUGGGUUCCAAGCUUAUGGUCCUUACAAUCAAACUCCAAAUGGGUCCUUGUCAAAUCUUGGAAAAAAUUCCCAAGAACAGUUUUAUCAAUCUUUCAUGGAUAAAAAUCAGAACCAACAAGCUGCAGCUGCUUCUGCUUCUCAACAAGCUUUGACAGAAACCCUAACCAAAGCUAUGACAUCGGACCCUAACUUUCGGUCAGUUAUAGCUGCCGCGAUUUCAACAAUGGUUGGAGGCAAUGCAACAAAUAAUGGGGAUCAAGAAAAUUUUGGUCAGAAUCUGAUGCAGAAUAAUACUCCUCCUAACAAUUCAAUACUGAGCCAAAAUGGGAAAGCUUGCGCAUCAGGCUACUUCAAUGGACUCUCAACUUUGAAUUCUCAGACGGGAAGCAGUAGUUUGCUUCAAUCUUCAUUGCCAUUUCCUAUCUUCAAGAGCAGCCCUACCCCGACGAAUGAUAAUAAUAACAAGGAUCAAAGCAGUUGAUGGGGUUGAUAAUUGACUUUUUGGAUGUGACCGAAGUUUGGGAAUAAGUAAUAAAUAAUAUUGAGAAUGAUCAAAGUGUAUAUAGUUACUUAAUGUUUAUGUAUGGAAUUGAUACAGUCCUGUUCACAUUGUCCGCAAAUGCAACCAGUCGAAUCUGAGCUUGUAGAUUUCUUGCUAAUACAAACCAUUGAUUCUGUAUUAUACAUAUUCAGCGUGCAGUUAAGGUCUAAGUCAACUUUAAAGGAGAGUAGUUCAUAUAUAAAAUGAGCUGACGGUCUUAAAUUAGGGUUUCAAGUGCAAGUACCCACUGACUCGUUACAAUCAAGUAGUCCUGUAAUAUGACCUACAGCUGAGAUAGGAUCUCGUCACAUAUUUGCGGGUUGUUAGUUAGUUUCACUUGGUAAGAUCUCUAGUGUUAAAAAAUAAAGGGAGAAUUCAACUCUGCACGCAUGAUUGGUGAGCUUCCAAUCAUGUGAUGUUUUAAAAAAUAAAAGUAUAAAAAUUAGGGGUCGAAUGCACUAAAUAAAUUUCUGGAACUGGAUUGAUAAUUUCAUCAUCUAAUUUCCUGGAACUGGAUUGAUAGUUUCAUCGUCUGCAGAGCACUUGACGGACAUGAAAAAAUAAAAAAAUAAAAAAAAUAACAAUAAUAAUGAAAAAUAAAAAUUAGGAUUACUUAUUGAUAAAAUGUAAGUCAAUUGACAUCGGAACAUUUUAUUGCAAUGGUUUAUUACUAUUAUAUUAGUAUUAUUACUUUUGCCAAAAAUGUUAAUUUACUAUUUUACAUUACGUUACAAUAUAAAACGUUAAAGAUGUAAGCAACUGACUAACAAUAACGAGGACGCGCACCAAAAUGACCUCAAUUGCACUAUAUAGUCUACUUGUUUUCCAAUUAGAGACAACAGAAAACUCCUGUGAUAUAUUUUAUUUAUCUAAUUAUUCAACAAUACAUUAGGGAACUCCAAAAAAUAAUAUUGAAUAAUGAGACUGAGUCUAUUGCAUGAUUUAUGCAGAAAAUUGUAACUCAAUACUCUUUGAUAUAUAGCACAAUUGUUUACACAAGACAGCUCCCUACAAAAACAAUGGGCUCUGUUCAUCCAACCUCCUGCACUAACCGGUAACAUCCCCAAAAUAAAUCUUUAUGAGAACCUUUUUGCGGCCAAAGUCCUUAAACAUGAAAAAAUAACGGCUAGGCGGGCCGGCAGUCAGUAGCAAUCAUGAAGAAUAGAGUUUCAUAUGAUUCAUACACCGCUGCAACAAAAAUCAUAAAGUUUAAAUGCCAAUAUGUAAUAGAUCAAAAAGUUUACUCUCACGUCAAUUAUCAACACAUAAUCUACGAGCAUAUCACCUUGCCAGUACUGUUGAAAAUGUUGCUCCAUCUUCGAGACAUCUUUCUUCAUGAAACUCUCAAUAGUUGAUGAAAAGCCUCCUGAGGUAUAUCAACAGAACCAACGCGCUUCAUUCGCUUCUUUCCUUCUUUUUGCUUCUCCAAUAGCUUCCUUUUCCUUGUAACAUCUCCACCAUAGCACUUUGCAAGAACAUUCUUUCUCAUAGCCGAAAUCCUAUGAACAGAACAUCAAGGGUUAGCUAACAGUUUGGAAGAAAGAAUUAUCAAAAUUUUAGAAAAAAAAUGACAAAAAACAAUGACAAUCUCUUGCUUUACGAAUGCCAAUGAAAAUUGCAAGAACCGCUAUCUAAAGAAAAUGGUCACAUAUCAAAACUGAUAUAGUGACAUCACUCAAAUAGAAAAGACCAGUAUGAAAAGGUUUCCAUGACUUACGUCUCCCUCGCAAUAACCUUUGAUCCAAUUGCAGCUUGAAUGGUUAUCUCAAACAUUUGCCUGCUCAGAUUCAAAUCACCUGAGGCUACUACAUAAACAAGCAAAUAGACUAUGAAAACUAAUAUAUUAAAUGAAAAGACCUGUCUAUGAAUUUCUUCAGCUUCUCCACCAGUUCACGACCAACACGUUGAGCCUUUAAAUUGUGCACAAUUGUUGCCAUUGCAUCAACAGGUUGACCAUUCAAGAGGAUAUCGAGUUUCACCAUAUCAGCUUGUUGAUAUCUGUUAAUGAGACCCGUCAUGUGUGAAAUGUGGAGAAAUCAUAUCCAAAUAUCCCAUCCAAUCAGAUGAUGUAUAAAUGCUUUCCACAUAAAUAAAAGGAAGUACAAAAGAGAGAGAGAUUACUCUGAAUCCUCAUAAUCGAAUGAUGCAUAACCUGAAGUCAAACUCUUCAAUUCAUUAUAAAAAUCCACAACAAUUUCCCUCAAAGGUAGACAAUACUUCAUAAAUGCCCGCUGGCUGCAUAUAUGAAAAUCAAAUGAUCAGUACUUCAACUGUGAAUCAGUUCAAGGAAGGGUACAUAAAGCUUGCAAAUUAAAUCGCAUACGUAACAAAUGCAGAAACUGACAGUACAAUUUAGUAAUGUAGGGUAUAUAUAUAUUUCAACUACAAGUUUUAUGAUUAGAUCAGAUAUAUGUUCUAUGGAUACCAAGAAUUUAAAUACAAAGUUUAAUUUAUUUUCAUGCUAAAAUCAUCAUGAUCCAGGAGUCAAAAUUACCUGUCAAUAAACAAGUACUCCAACUGCUGUCCUCUUCGCUCGGAGCAAAGUGUAAUCACAGAUCCCACGUACCUUAGGGCAGAAAAAUUUCAUUCUGGAUGAAUAAAUACACUGAUGCAAAAGAACUUACCCAGUAAGGGAGUUGAGGGCUUACUCACUAGGAAUGAUAAUUGUCGCUACCACAGUAGGUUCCCAGCAGGCUGUAACCCGUUUUUUAGGAUUGGAGGGCAAUGAGGCAGGAUUCUGUACUUCUGCUUUACUAAAGAAUGGGUCCAUGUAUCAUUAGGUAAAGCACUUCUUAAACAAUCUUAAAAGCGAUAUACAAGACAUACCUCCCAUCAGAAUACUCAAAUAUAUAAGGCACAGUGGGGACUGUUGAAAUGACAUGAGCUCCAUACUCCUAUCAUAUAUAUUAACAGAGGGGUUCAUGAGAAUAAGCAAUACUUCCAAUAUUAUUAAGCCAAAUACAAGUGUCCAAGUAAAAUUCUAGACAAACAUGGUAAGAUAUGUCGGCAAAAUAAGCAUAAUAACUGAUAUUUUAUUAGUUUUAUCUAACUUUAUUAUUUUUUAAAUGUGAUCCAUCAACAACAAUGAAAAGACACGGUGAAGAAAAUUCCUUAACUACAUAAAGGCAUAUUAAUGUCCACGAUAUUAGGUCCAUAUGUACAUUAAGAAGCUUGUAUGAGUGCUAGAAGAAAACCUAAUUUAGAUGCUGCUGCUAGAAAAUUUGGUGUUGGCUUGGAAAGAAAGGUAAAAAGUUCAUACAGCUGGACCCAACCAAUAUGAAAGCAAAGUUCGUUUAUCUAUUAUAAAGAAACUCCCUCCAAAUGGGAAAAAGAUGAACAUUUCAAAAUGCAAAUAGGCUGUGUUGGUACUGCAUCUUCAUAUUGUAUUUGAGGACUAUGUCAACUGCAAACACAAAAAAGGGGAAAACACCUGUUCAAGUCGUUGAUGAAAAACGUCCAUGUGAAGUAAGCCUAAGAAACCACACCUGUAGUACAACAUGUUAAUUGUUACCAAAAAAUAGAAAACAGGAUACUUAGUCACAAGUUUGAUUUUCACUGUAGUGAGAUGAAUCACUCAGUGGCUGAGGCCAGACCUAAAACCCAGUCCAAGUGCUGUGCUAGUCUCUUUAGUAACAGAGACACUGGCAUCAUUGCACGUGAGUCUCUCUAUUGCAUGGUUGAGCACUUCAAAAUCAGAUCCAUCAGCAGGAUAAAGACCAGAGAACACCAUAUGUUUGGCAGGCUUAAAACCUACAUUUUUGGGGCAUAUAAGAAACCAUGUCAAAGGGAAGGUAUAAGGACCAGUGAAUUCAGAACUACUUAAAUCAAGUAGAAAAUGAAAGGCAAGGACGAUAACAUAACAUGUAGAGCCCUUACAGCUACAACACCGGCAUAUAUUGCACUUUGAAGAAAAUACAGCAGAACAACCAAAAUACUCACCUUUCUACAAACAGAAUUACAAAAACAGAGAAAGAAAACAACCAAAUAGUAAGCCUGCCUCAAACAAAUACUCCAACUAUUAAGGUAGAGAUAAUAUGUUUAUGACUGGCAAGAUCUGCGUGAAAAGGCUAACAGAAUGAAGAUAAUGUUCUGUAGCAGGAAAAAAAGAUGAAUAUAUACCUGGAAGUGGCUCAACAAUGCUUUUAUUGUGAUAGAGAGUAUCACCAAUGCGUGCCUCUUUCGUUGAACGCAUGCCAGUCACAACAUAACCCACUUGUCCAGUAAGAAGAACCCCAGUAGGAGUGAGUUCAGGAUGCAUGAUUCCAACAUCCACAAUUUCAUAAGCUUGGCCAGUUGCAGCCGAUGAGAUCUUAUCUCCUUUGCGCAAAGUUCCAUCAACAACUGCAACAUGGCAUAUUACUCCUUUGUACUCAUCAUAAUAUGAAUCCAACAAAAGCAUACGCAAAGAUGAAUUUAUAAUCCCACGAGGAGGAGGUAUCCGCUCUAUGACUGCAGGAAGGACAUGCUCAAGACCCUGCCCUGUUUUUGCAGAUGUUAAAAGGGCUUCACUAGGGUCAAGAUCAAACAUUGAUUUCAGCUGAGCUUUGACACGAUCAGGAUCAGCAGUAGGCUGAUCAAUUUUGUUUAUGACAGGUAUUAUCGUCAGUUCAGAUUCAAAAGCAAGAUAAAAGUUAGCAACAGUUUGUGCCUGAACACCUUGGGCAGCAUCCACAACCAAAAGAGCACCCUGGCAAGCUGCUAGGGAUCUCGACACCUCAUAGCUGAAAUCUACAUGACCAGGUGUGUCGAUAAGAUUUAGUAGAAAACUUGAGGGAUAAUGAGCUUCACUAGUGCCAGGGCCAUUCAACUCGUUUCUGUAAAACAUAGUAGCUGUCUGUGCUUUAACGGUUAUUCCCCUUUCUCUCUCCACCUAAAAAUAUCCCCACUUCAUCACAUUUACAACAGACAGUAAAUAAAUACCUUCAAUAUAUAUUUUCCCGGACAUAAAUAUAUGCUAUCAUUUUGAGAAGUGUGAAACUAAUGUGAAAUAAAACAAACAGGUUUAGAAAAAGAAUGUGGAUGAAGUAUACAUAGAGGCCAUCAUCUCAAGCUUAUUUAGCGAAGCUUUCUAGUCUUCAUAUUUCCGAGACAAUAACAAUUUCAAACGACAACGAUAUCAAAGAAGCAUACUCUGACAAACUAAAAUGACAAAAACCACAUUGAAUUUACAAAACAAAUCCAUAAACCUAAUGUAAAAUCCAAAAAACACCCACUUUAAAUUGCAUGUUAAAUAAUCUAAUAAAAAAAAUGAAAAAUUCAUCAUUAUACCUGCAAUUUAUCAAGAUACUGAGGCUGCCCAUGCCCUCUUUUGAUAGUGCCAGUGAGUUCCAAAAGCCUGUCAGCGAGCGUUGAUUUUCCAUGGUCAACAUGGGCAAUUAUAGAAAAGUUUCUGAUUCUCUCAGGUGGGUACUGGGUCAAGUCUACAUUUGUAUUAUCUCUGUUGUCAUGUUGGCGAGAAUUUGAAGAAAAUGAACGAGUUGAGUCAAGCAAACAACGGUGGUUUUGGCAGUGGCUGAAUCUAAAAUUUAUUGGAUUGGUUUUAGCGAUUGAGGAGAGUAUAAAGUGAGAUUUUUUAAGGGUUUUAGAGGCUCCGUAUAUAGACCCCAUUUGAAGGGUUUUAGCAGAAGAUGUGCUGCCGUAGCCAAAUUGUUUCGAGAAAGCGCUUCAGAAAUUAGCGUGCCAAUUGCGCCCGGUACACCUCCAUACUUCAAAAAUUAUCUCAAUACCCUAAAAUUUGUUUUUGCCAAAAUUUUCAUUGAUACCCUUUAAAGACUCAUAAAAAAUUACUAAUCUAUCCUCAUUUUAAAAUAUUUCAAUUCAACGGACAGCUCCUCUCCCUUCUCUACUGAAGCAAACAAACACUCAUCUGCUGCAAUUCUCUCCAUUAUCAAACUCAAACAAACAAACACUGUAAUUCCCUCACCGGCAUCACCUCUACCGAAAACAAACAUUCAUUCUCCAUACAUGGUAAAUCAAACUUCAACACGAGCAAACUAAGCCUGAGAAGGGGAAGCUGCCACAACUAAGAAAGUGAAGCAUAGUUCGUCACUACAUAAUCGCCGGAGAGAGUUGAACAUUUACUGUAAAAUUAUCAGAUUGUAACUAGUUGAGACAAGUAAUUCCAUGUAAUUAGUUUUCUUGUUAAUAUUCAAGGGAAAAAAACAAAAAGNNNNNNNNNNNNNNNNNNNNNNNNNNNNNNNNNNNNNNNNNNNNNNNNNNNNNNNNNNNNNNNNNNNNNNNNNNNNNNNNNNNNNNNNNNNNNNNNNNNNNNNNNNNNNNNNNNNNNNNNNNNNNNNNNNNNNNNNNNNNNNNNNNNNNNNNNNNNNNNNNNNNNNNNNNNNNNNNNNNNNNNNNNNNNNNNNNNNNNNNNNNNNNNNNNNNNNNNNNNNNNNNNNNNNNNNNNNNNNNNNNNNNNNNNNNNNNNNNNNNNNNNNNNNNNNNNNNNNNNNNNNNNNNNNNNNNNNNNNNNNNNNNNNNNNNNNNNNNNNNNNNNNNNNNNNNNNNNNNNNNNNNNNNNNNNNNNNNNNNNNNNNNNNNNNNNNNNNNNNNNNNNNNNNNNNNNNNNNNNNNNNNNNNNNNNNNNNNNNNNNNNNNNNNNNNNNNNNNNNNNNNNNNNNNNNNNNNNNNNNNNNNNNNNNNNNNNNNNNNNNNNNNNNNNNNNNNNNNNNNNNNNNNNNNNNNNNNNNNNNNNNNNNNNNNNNNNNNNNNNNNNNNNNNNNNNNNNNNNNNNNNNNNNNNNNNNNNNNNNNNNNNNNNNNNNNNNNNNNNNNNNNNNNNNNNNNNNNNNNNNNNNNNNNNNNNNNNNNNNNNNNNNNNNNNNNNNNNNNNNNNNNNNNNNNNNNNNNNNNNNNNNNNNNNNNNNNNNNNNNNNNNNNNNNNNNNNNNNNNNNNNNNNNNNNNNNNNNNNNNNNNNNNNNNNNNNNNNNNNNNNNNNNNNNNNNNNNNNNNNNNNNNNNNNNNNNNNNNNNNNNNNNNNNNNNNNNNNNNNNNNNNNNNNNNNNNNNNNNNNNNNNNNNNNNNNNNNNNNNNNNNNNNNNNNNNNNNNNNNNNNNNNNNNNNNNNNNNNNNNNNNNNNNNNNNNNNNNNNNNNNNNNNNNNNNNNNNNNNNNNNNNNNNNNNNNNNNNNNNNNNNNNNNNNNNNNNNNNNNNNNNNNNNNNNNNNNNNNNNNNNNNNNNNNNNNNNNNNNNNNNNNNNNNNNNNNNNNNNNNNNNNNNNNNNNNNNNNNNNNNNNNNNNNNNNNNNNNNNNNNNNNNNNNNNNNNNNNNNNNNNNNNNNNNNACGAAUUUUUCCAUUAAUCAUUAGAUUAAUUUAGUUCUUUAAAUACUUAAUUUGUGCUAAGAAUUUAUAUUUGCUGCUAUGCAGAAAAUGUCAAUGAAAAUUAUUAAAAAAAAGAAGUGAAAUUAAAUUGGAAUCUAAAAAAAUUCCACAUCAUCAUUGGUUUGAAUUGCAACUGGUGGCAUAGGAUCAGAUGUCUUAAGUUUGAACUUCAUUGUGAUUUCGAAUUCCGAAGUAUCUAUAUCAAUAACUUCAGCUAUCUUCUCCACCAAUUCGGCAUAUGUUGUCGAUCGUGGUAUCAUUAUCCCUUUAGCCUUUGAACCUUUGAACUUAUACUCGUCAUUUUACUCAAUCCAUUCACCAUUGAAGAUAAUAUGCACACGUACCAAAACCAUAUCUGAUGAUACAAUAAAAACAAUAAUAUUAAAUUUCAUAUACAAGUAACCACACGACCUACACGACUAUAUUACUUACACGAUUUACACGACUUACACGACUAUAUUUCUUACAUGACCUACACGACUAUAUUUCUUACAUGACCUACAUGACUAUAUUUCUUACGUGACCUACACGACCUACACGACUUACACGACCUACACGACUUACACGACUAUAUUACUUACACGACCUACAUGACUAACUAUAUGACGUACACGGUAUCAAAAGAAUGCACGACUCGAAAUAUUUUGGCCAUAAAUAAGUUAUAUUGCUGAAAAAAAUAAUUAAACAACCUACAUCGCAUAUAUUUCUAUGUAUAAGAAAAAAUGGUGAAAAUAAAACAUUGUAAUGUGAGGAAAAUUUCUAAAUUUUCCUAAAAAUUAACAAAUUUAAAACCCAACAACAUUAACAUACCUUAUUGGGUUGUUUAAUAAGCAAUGCACCUUUAAAGAAAGAGUGGGUGUUAAAAAAAUGAAUACAUAAUUGUAUUUGUGUAAGAAGUUAUGAGAGAUUUUGAGAGAUUCUAAGAGAUUUUAAAAGAAUCGACAGCAAAAAUAGAUUUUGGUGAAAGAAAUGAGGAAAAAAAUAUGAAGACAAUUCAUUGAGUGAAUUUGAUGCAUUCAUUAAGGGUAUUUCCGACUUUGCUCACAUUUGUUAGGGUAUCCAUGAAAACAAAAAAGAGAGGGGGUAUUUAAAUAAUUUUGAAACUAUUAAAGGGUAUUUAAUUAAAAACCCCGAAAUUAGCAGCGUUUGGUUUGCUCUUCUUAAACGACAUCGUUUACAACUGAAUAAAGACUUAUGUCGAAAUUACCAAAGAUAACCCCGUAAUGUUAAAUAAUACUAAAUAUGCGCAUAACGUUUACAAAAUCUCUCAAAUUCAUCCUUCUCAUGGCAUCAUAAAUCAGGUAACUGAUAGUACACACAUCUCGAGGAUGAGGCCUUGAGGGUACGAAAAAACCUUUGUUGUCGAUUGUCAGAUGCUGGGACCAGCCAUUAGCGCAAUUUCAAGUUCUACACAAAAGGACAAGAAUGAAAAAGAAGCAGAGCAAUCGUAGUACGAUGAGAAAUGACGUGACUCCACUACAAUACAUGCAAUACAGAGCCAACUUGAAGCUUCAGUUUCUCUUCCCACUCUCUUUCCAAUUUCCUGUCUCUGGCACUUAGCUGUUUCUUCUCAGCUGGUGAUUGCUUAACAGAUCCAGUAAGUUACUUAAACUUCUGUCGAGAACAAUUUUGUAUAUGGGACCAAACAUUGUGUGUUUUAUUCUCUAGUUCUCGUUCGAAGUGACAAAAAAAGUUCAAAAAAUCCAACUAGGCUUGCUUGAUGCUUGAUAUAGAGCUAGGAAUGAAACUAGUGUUAGAUUAUCCAGUUGAGUAAUAAUUUCGUAUGGCCAAGCCCAAGAAUAUGGACGAUCUGUUAAUUUACCAGAUAUGUUAAUUGAUUGUGUAUUAGGUAUAUGGAGGGGUUACCAAAGGUUGUUUUUUUUUUUAAUUAAAAAAUCUGUUCUUUUUCAUUUUAGAAGUUGCUGUUGGAAGCGCUAGUCCUUGAUUUGUUGGAAACGUAAAUAUUUUAGUUAAUGUGACUUGAUCAUAAUUUAUAACAAUUCUUUUACUAAGCUGGUACUCUGCCGUGAUAGUUUGGAAAUCUGGACUUCGAAUAAGUUGGAUCAAGUAAUCAACCUUCUUUCAAGUAAUCAACCUUCAAAUAUUUGAAAGAAGAUCCUCCCCUCAUAAUUCAAAUGUACCCAGGAGACUUGAACCUCCUAUAGCACCCUACUAAUGGAUGGUUUCUUUACCAUAGUCUUUUCCUAGCAUAUUUUACAACACUUGCUUCACUUAGCAAGCAUGAGAAUUAUUGAUUGAUGGUUCAUUUGCUAGUGUCUCAGUUUUCAUUAAAUGGGUACCAUGAGUGGGUAAAGAUUGGUUUUUAUAUAUCAUAUAUUUGAAUGGGUGAAUCUUGAUUGAUUUUUCAGUUUGGUUAUUCUUAGUGUAGGUGGUGGGCUGAAAUGUCAACUACAGCAGUGGAUGAGGGAUCUCAAGAGGCUUCAACAGGGUGCACCUCCUGGUGAUGACGAUAUUAUGCUUUGGAACGCUAUUAUUGUUGGGUAUUUUGCCAAUGUUCUAUGUUUCCUGCCAACAAUGUAGUGGCUCUUGACGUCUUCUCUAUUUUCUCUCAAGGCGUGUGUUUCUUUUCUGAUUGUCAUUUUAUAAGAGAAUAUUUUAGUUUAUAUUUUCACAAUCUCUAUUGAUUGCUUUCCUUGUUUGUGUUGUAGCCUUGGUGGGACUCUUUUUGACGGAGGUGAGUUUAAAAUUCUGAAUAAGUGUAUGCUAACUUGAGCUGUGCAUUACAAUUGCCUAAUAUAAUCAUUGAGUUUAAUCCGGCGCUCCUACAAUUACUGUUUCUGACACGCUGAAAUGGGUUAAGUUGUAAAUGCUGAACUGAUGUGUAUGUUUAGGCAUUUAUAUCUGCGGAUAUUGCUAUACAUACCUAUGGCUGCACAGAACUUAUUAGAAACCAUUCUCUGAAAUCAUCUUGUUUCAGAUGAUAAUUGCUUAUAUUUGAAACAUAUUUGCAAAAUAAAUGACAGCUAUUCUAGAACUUUGUUCCAGGAAAAGAGUUCUAUUGCAUUUCCUUCUGCCACAAGAAAUAGCUAGUACUGCACUUCUAGUGUGAUAUCAUUGCCUAAAAGUUAUUAGAAUAAUAAGCAUAUUUUACUGUUGCCACUUCUAUUGACAAUAUAGUCAUAAAUCCCUCUUGAGGUUUUGGCAGGUAUAUUUAAGUUGACUCUUAAGUUUACUAAGGAAUAUCCUGUCAAGCCUCCUGUGGUUCCAUUUGUUUCCGGAAUGUUCCACCGUAACGGUAAGUUGAGCUAAAUUCCUGUUAGUUCCUCCUUCUCCUCUUUUUCCCAUAUGAUCUAUUUAACCUUCUUAUGUGGAAGGAGAGGGAAAAAAAAGAGCAAGCUUUAGGAUUCAAUUGUAUUAUUUUUAAUUAUAUGGUUGAAUGCUGAUCCUCUUAUGAAUCAUAUGAUGUACAAAAUUUGUAGUGUUUUACUGCUUACUUUCCAGAAUUAAUUUCUCCCUUUUUUUUCUUUUUCAAUCACUAUAUUAGUCAAGUUCCAAGUUUUAAUCCAUGCAUCUUUUGGCAUUUAUUUAUAAUGUUCAAUGUUUUUUGUUUAAGUUGACUCCAUAAUCAUAUUAGAUGUUUAAAAAUUUAGGAUUUGUAAGUGAUCUUGCUAAAGUUGCUGUCAGGCUUCUAAAAUUCUAUGGGAAAAUAUUAUUUGAGGCUUUUAUUUUGACAUCAAUAAGAAUCACCUAUUCUUCUGUAGCAUGUAUCUUGGUCUAUUUUUAUUUUGUUCUGUUCUUUCUGGGAAAUGUCAUCUUUAAGGAGUUUUGUCCUUUCUGAUCUCUUAUACUGUUGCGUUGCUCCUUACCAGUUUUUGGAGAUGGAAGCAUCUGUUUGGAUAUAACAUAUAAGACUUGAAGUGGAAUCAUGAUUACAAUGUAGUUUCCAUUCUUGCAACAAUUCAGGUAAUCAUAGGUCUACUUAUAAAAUUUUAUAAAAAAAUUUGCUAACUCUGUUCAUCCUGAAGUCAAUGGAAAUGUCCUUGUACUGUAAGUAAUGUCAGGAGUAGCAAAAAACAUUUAAAUUUGGUAAAAAAGUUCUUGCAGUUGAUGCUGGGUGAUCCAAACCUGUACUCAGCUGCAAAUCAACAGGCUGCAACGAUGCUCAUUGGCAGAAGAAUUGACUAUUACAAGAAAACACAGCGAAUUGUUGAGUUGAGCUGGAAAGCAAUCUGAUGAUGCAUUCUUUGUCUCAGCUGUUAUUGGUGGCUCUUCAGCCAAACUGAGUCACAGGCUAACUCUUUCUCCAAAUAACAUGUUGGCCCAACUGUGUGACAGGUUGAUGGCUUUGAUUAUGUAACUAAGAUCAUAUUUUCUUUUUAACAUCAUUAUCUAAUCGCAAUGGUAAUAUAAACAUUAUAACUGCAUUGUUGAGUUCAUGUAAAUAAUCUCUUGUAUGAAAUUUGUGUAGAACCUUAGCAACUUCAGGCCUCAUUUAGAGGGUUGUUUAUAUUAAAUUAUUAAUCAUAGGCAAGAGUUCUGAUCUGUAAUAUAUUUGAUUGUGAUCCGUAGCAUCAGUUAUUUUGGUGACCAUUUGAACAUAUUUUAGAGAGCUGACAUGUAAUUAGUUCUUAACACAUUUGAUUAGAAGAGACUUAAUACCACUGGGAAUAAUCAGAACAUUUGAACAAGGAAUUAAUUACUUACGAUGUGAGGGACCAGAAAUCAUCAGCCUUAUUUUCAUAUGUAUUAUUGAUUAUGUUAUUGCCGACUGGAAUCAAAAUGUAAUUAGUGCUUGUGUGUCUAAAAUUCGAGGUGGUUUUUUAGACACAGAAAGCAUAUAGUGAGGUUCCAGAAGUGAAGUUCUUGUUACCAAAUCCGACAGUAACCUUGUACCCAUUACCCAUAUAGAUGCAUCCAUUGCUUACUGAAGCACCACCAUAAAUCGUUGCUCCAGUAUGAUACGACCACAAGAUUUUUCCUGUCUUGACAUCCAUUGCAUAGAUUGGUCCUUGUCGGUAUGUAGAUCCGCCAAACAGGACACCAUUGGCGACAGUAACUGGUCCGGGGGCAGUACCAUUGCUAGGAUCAGCUGUAGACCAUAGGACAUUUCCAUUGCUAGCAUCCAUCGCCACCCAUCCACCAGCAAUAGUGGAGUUCUUGGAUGGCUUGAGAGUGAAGUUUUUGUGUUGGCUGUUGGCAAUGUUGGAGUAGAUUCUUCUCUCAUCUGUGGCCGCACCCCACAUUGCCCCGCCACCUAGGCCUCCCGGUCCAGCCUCCUACAGUUGUAAGUCUUUUGUUUAGGAAAAAAAAAAAAUUGCAAUACACAAACGCAAGACCUCAUAUCAAAACCGUUCUUCAAAGUGAGUCUGAACUUACAAUAGACCAAAUGAGGCUGCCAUUAUCACGAUCUAGAGCCCAAGCAAAGCCGCUUUUCUGAACAGCAACAACAAUAUCAUGCUUCACUUUAUUUAGAUACAUGCUCAACAUCAUUGGCGCCUCUCCAAAAUCAGCAUCAGGGCUAGGUCCAGGUGGGCAAUUUGGAUUCAAUUGCCAGUUACAGGCACCAAACCACACAUCAUAUCCCCCCAACUGCUUAUACCACACAAUUUUUCCAGUGUCUAAAUCAAGUGCCAGGAGAGAAUUUGAGUGAUUUUCAGGUUCGAUACACUUGUCUGGACUUGUUGGUGUUGUUUGAUUGUUUUCUUCUUGGCAUUGGCGUAUAUGCAGUGGAACUGAAUAGAGGUUCCCUGUGGCAAUGUAAACAUGGUUUCUAAUGGGGUCAAUUGACGGACUGCUUCCCCAAAUGGCUGCUCCAGCAUAUUCGUUAAGCUUGCCAAAAUUGUCCGGCAGCAUGAAGGUUUGCCACAGGAUCCUGCCGGUCUUGGCAUCUAAUUUGGCUAGACUGCCCUGGAAAGUGCAGCAUAGCUCGAAGGUUAGGCCUUCUUCUAUUGAUGAUGUUCCAACAUAGUAAGCCCUGAGGCAAAGCCAGUAAAUGCGAAAUAAUUAAAACCAAAAUCUUGUACUUCAUUGAAUUUCUAUUUUUGUCUUGAAUCAAUAAUUUGUACAUUCACGUGAAUGUCUACACAUUUUAAAAUGUAGAUUUGGACUAUGUGGUGGGAACUAGCUAUAAUUUAAUAUUAAAAUAUAUCUAAAAUUCGUAUCUUUAAACAUUAAUUUUGUAUUUUGGAUACAGCUGGACAUGGAAAUCAGGAACAAUUCUGUAUAGUUGAAGUUAUCUUUGCAUUGGCAAGACAACAUGUAAGACAAAACACAAUUUGAAGACCGAUAAUGUCCAGAUCUAAUAAUCAUAUAAAUAUUACAUAUUAAAAGUCAUGUUGUCCACAGGCCUGACAAUUUCUAUUAAUAUAAAGAAUUUAGCUAAUAAAUCUUGAGACAAACAAAGACUGACAUUAUGUAAUUGGCACAAGUUAAAUAUAAUAAAAUUUCCUGGGUCUGCUAUCUGUGAACCACAAGAUUUUACUUAGAAGUUAUAAACUUCUUAAAAGGUUAACAAUCUUUUAGACAAAUGAACCACUUAACUUGAGACAGAAAAUUUUCCUGGAUAUUUUCUCAAAGAAAGUUUGCUUUCUAAAAUAGAGUAUAGGUUGAGUGGCUGUAUGUAUGCAAUGACUUCUAACUGCAACUGCGGAAUCAAAUCACUAAGCAAAAGUUAGUUCAGUUUCUGGGCUUUCAUAGUUAAGCUGAAGCUUCGAAUUGUUAAUGAGGUAUCUCUAUGCUAAACAUUAAAGGACAAACAUUAAGAGUAAGCGAAAAUGGCAAAAACUAACUCUUUGUAAUAAGUUCCAGACAUGGUUAUAAAACUUCGUGCAUGAUCAUCGAGCAUGGUCUUCCAAACAAGCUUCCCAUUUGAUCUUCUCACAGCAACUACAACGGCAGGUCCCCAGAGUCCAAAAAUAAGCAAAUUUCCAGCAACUGUUGGUGUUGAUCUUGACACUGUUGAGUUGACAUUGAGAGUGAAACCAGGGUUGCUAAUCCCUGUCAAGUUUUGUAAGUUCUGCUUCCAAAUAAGAGAUCCAUCAGCUGCUUUAACUGCAUAGAGGUAGCCAUUCCAGCUUGGAAAGUAAAGGGUGUUGUUGAAAAUUGCUGGAGUUACACUAAUGUCACAUCCUGCAUAGAACUUCCACUUUAAAUUUAGCUUGGAGACAGUUGCUGGACUGAUCUUUUUCUCCUUGUUUGCAUAUCUCCUGUUGUAUAAAUCUCCUCCAUGAUUUACCCAAUUUUGUUCAGUAUUUUGUGUGUUGCCCUGCAAAUAUAGAGUCAAACAUCAAAAUUUAUCCAUGUUAAUUGUGUCAUGUGUAGUGAGUGUGCAUGAGGGAGAGAAUUUACAGCAGAAUCUGUGGAAGUUGUGAAGGAGAGUAAACAGAAGAUGCUUAGAGGAACGAUAAUAUUAUUGUUCUGGCGUUUAGGAAGCGCCAUUGAAAUGGGUCCUUGAAAAUGCUUAUUGCUGUAGGAGGCUUCUGUCAAGAUGCUUAAAAAAAAAUUUCAUUUGGAGGGAUUUAGUGGCUUUUUAACUUACUAUUAAUUUGACAGGCUACCACCUCCACGCAAGACAAACAAAUUAAUUUUUAUUUAUUAGAAGUAAAUAUGUAUACCUUGAUUAAAUCAAUACUGAAUUUGUCUAAAAACAAAGCAUAUUCAAUUGUCAACCGUUUGAAGAUCUCUUAAAAAUACUAGUAAGACGAGAAGGCAUUUUAAACUUGUGAGCGUCUGCACCUACAAAUGCGAAUUUAUCUAUCUAUAAUUCAAUACCAACACAGCUCAUUAAAUGUAACUUUUUUGCGCAUUCUUUCAUUCAAGGAGUUUCUAUGUUGGUACAUCAUCUCUAGAAGAAGGCCUAAGCAUUGCACUUUGUGCGGCCGCCUCUUGAAAUUACAUGUCAAAUCUGAUGCAGUCUUGCGGCAAACUUACAUGCUGCCUGAUAACAAAGGCAAGAGAGGAGCAUACGCUGGAGCAGCAAUCUGGGGAAGCAGCCCAUCAAUUGAUACUCGCAGAAAUCACAUUUACAUUGCCACUGGCAACUUAUACUAGGCUCCUCACACGACAGAAUGCCAGGAAAAACAAAAUCAUCAAACAGUAUCCACUAGUCCUACUAAUGAAUGUGUAGAGCUUGAGAAUCGUUCAGAUUCAAUCCUGGCAUUGGACGUGGACACGGGCAAGAUCCAAUGGUACCAUUAAGUUGGCGGCUACGGUGUAUUCUUUAUUGAAUGUUUCAAUCUUUCAACCCCUGGUUGCCCUCCUGGCCCUAACCCUCAUGUUAAUGGAACUUGGAAAGAUAUUAUUGUUGCUGUGCCAAAAAGUGGAUUUGCUUGGGCUCUUGAUCGUGAUAAAGGCAGUCUCAUUUGAAAUAUAUAUAUAGUCCUUAUAUUUUGAACUUGCUUCACUUGAAUUAAAUUUUUGACUACGUACCUGUUGCAUCUGUACAAGCAAACAGGGAAUAACUCCUACAAUUUAUAUAUACAUCAUCUUAUUGAAUUUGUAGGAGGCUGGAACUAGCGGCCCUGGCGGAAAGGGUAUUUGGGGCGCAGUUACUGAUGAAAAAAGGAUCUAUAUCAAUAUUGCCAACUUUGAAGAAAAGAAUUUCGUUCUCACCCAAUCCAAGAAGAACACAAGCCGGUGGCUGAGUGUGCAAUCGAUGCUCGCGACGGCAAAAUCCUAUAGUCCGUACCAAAUCCAAGUACUUUUACAGUUUAUGGGCCUGUCGGUGUGGCUAAUGAUGUGGUUUUUGCUGGAUCAACACAUCCUGAAGGACCAAUAUAUGCAAUGGAUGCCAAAACUGGUAAAAACCUGUGGUUAUAUGAAACUAGAGCUGCAGUUUAUGGUGGGAUGUCCGUGAGUGGUGGAUGCAUAUAUCUUAGUAAUGGAUAUACAGUUAGUCUUUCAUGCUGCCAGUCCUUCAUCCACUGCUGGAACCUCACUCUUUUCGUUUUGUGUGUGACUGCUAUGUCAUAUUUACAAACACAAAACGAAUUGUGAUCCACUGCCUUAUAACAUAGAACAAUAAAGAUAUGCGUAAGUGUACUGUAUGUUAUUCGUGAUGGCAUUUUACUUGUUAUUCGUGAUGACAUUUUACUUAUUACUGAGAAUAAAUUUACAUUAUAAAUUUGACUAUCAUGUGAUAGCGUGUGGUCAUUAAUUAGCUGCCCUUGAUGGUCCGUGUACGUUAGGCUUAUAGAAAUUUAUAUUAAUUGUUACAUGGGCUGUAACAAAAAACAGUCUUAUAUAUCAAGUUACAAUAUAAUAUAUGGGAUCCAUAAAUUUAAACCAAAGAACUUUAAUUUCACAGAAAUUGCCUUCAACCAAUUCAAAAGCAAAUAAGGCAAAACCGUCAAAAGACCAAAGACUUGUCCGAAAAAGACCAAACUGUUUACAUGUUCAAUUUAACCCACAAUUCUCUCUUUUUCUAUAUUUAUAAUCCCAUAUAUAUAUAUAUAUAUAUUCAGCAAUCAAGUUCAAAGUAGCGUAUAUUUGUAUGCUUGCUUAUGUGAUAAGUUUAUAGACAGAUCUGUCGCUGAAUACUUGUUGGUUUUAGUUGUAGAUUAUUUUAUUUAUCAACAUUUGAACGCCAAUUCGUGUUAAGUUUUAAAGCUUAACAGAUGUGUUUUUCUCUUUACUACACUCAUUAGGCCUCUUAAACAAAUAGUCUGGGCCUUACAGACCUCCAAGGCCCAUAUCUUCAUCUUUAACAAUUUUUACUCAAUUCUACAAUUCCAGAAUCCUGAGUUCCAAAAUCGACCUAAAAUCUUUUGACCUUGAUUAGUUUAUGCUUUGUGUGUAAAAGUGUUGUUUUGAAUAAGAAUGAUGGAUUAAAAAUGUAUGGAUGUUACUCAUAUGCCUUCACAGCAUUAUUAUCUAUUGAAUUGAAAAUUAUAUUAAAAAAUGAUAAAUAAAUGACAAAUUAAGGGGAUGACAACAUUUAUUAUAUACCUCGAUAAAUAAAUAAUUCUUGUUUGUUAAGUUUAUGGAUUGCAAAUAGAAACCAAAAAAGACAAAAAAAAAAUGGGGUUAUUGAUUGUUACAAAGGCUCACAUGUUUCAUUUACCAAGAUUUAUUGAGAUUUAAAGAUUUUUAUAAAUAACUAUACAAAACUUCGCCUUGAGCAAGUCAAAAGCACUAUAAGACAUGUCCGAAAAAGACCAAGCAGUUCAGAAAUCAUAUCUUUAUUGGAUAAACUCGUCAUCAUUUUCAAUGGACGCCCAUAAUUCUCUUAUUUACUAUUUUUGUAUUGCUGUAUUCAGCAACCCUUAUAAAUAAAUCCACCGCGACAUGUUCCUAUAGAGGCAUCUGUUUCUGCAAUAAAAAUGGCGAGACUCUAUUUGUCUUUGUGUUUUGUCGCUUUAGUUGCUAUCGGGUUCAUUGUUAAUGGCUCUGUAGCUGAUGAGGAUAAGAAGAAUGAAUGUGACAAAAACAAUUCUGAGGAGGUUAAAUUUUAUGAACUCAAGAAAGGAGAUUUCUCCGUUAAGUUUACCAACUGGGGUGCCACUAUUGUUUCUGUUUUUCUCCCUGACAAGGAUGGUAUGAUUUGUUUCAUUGUUUAAUUUGUGGGGGGUUUUUGUCCAUUUUUUUUAAUUGAUUGUCAAGUUUUGUUUUGGAUUUUUACAUUUUCUGAGUUUGUUUUAUUUUUGUUGUUUUUCAGGUAAGGUAGAUGACGUUGUACUUGGAUAUGAUUCAGUCGAUGAUUACAAGGUAAUUUUCUUUUCCCCCUCAUUUUGGAGAUACUUUUGAAAAUCAGAAAUUUUGCAUUGGAGAGCCUAUGGCCAUAGCCCAUAUGUGACAAAAGAGUCUAUAGCUAAUUUUUCCUGUGUUAUUUGUCCUAUGCAUCCAUCAUAUAUAUAUAUUUUUAUAGGGUAGUGAUAACCUCCACUUUUAGUUUAAUUUAUUUUAAUUACAGGAUUAUCUUUAUUAAAAAAUAAUUAUUUAUCAUUUUAUCUUCUCUCACAUCUCUCUCUCAAACAUCAGCAUCCCCGUCACCUAUUUCUAUUACCACCAAAUUCACCAUCACCGUCAAUUAGAGGUUGUUCUUAUGAAUCUAAAGUGCUGUAAUUGCAUUAAGAUAAUGUAUUCCAUAACUGAAGAAACUUAACUUCAGUAUCUUUGAAUCAAUAAAGAAUGUAAUCUGACUAAUUUUUAUUUUUAUUUCUGUUCUCUGUUGGUUAUAGCCAUGAGAUUAAUUGAUCAUUGUAAUUCACUUCACUUUUUCUCACUUAUGCUUCUAUUGCAUCUCUCAGUUGAGUCUGAAUCCCUCAAUGCACCUUCUCAAGAUCCUUACUAAUGAGUAUUUUACUUUAAUUGAUGCUAUUUGAAUCCAAUUAGAUGAACAUUUUGGAUAUUAACUUUUUGACUUUGGAUCGUGGGGUUAUGGUUUUGCAAUAUCUAGAUAACUGGGUAGUAGUUUUAAUUAUUAUUGUUAGUAGAUGUGAUUUUUCUGGAUCUAAUUAUUUUGUAAUCUUAAAUUGAUUGUUUGAUUUUUUUUUAAUUAAAAACGUUGUGUUUUGUAAUUUUAACUUGGUGGUAAUGGUGAUCACGAACUUAGAGCUAAUGAAGAUAAAUGGUGGGGAUGAAGAUUAUGCUUGACAGAGAAAAUAAUAAUUAUUUCUAAUGAGGGUAAUUUAAGAAAUUAGUUAAGUAAAUUGUAAAGUGAAUGUUGAUGAGAUAAAAUGAGUUUGAUCAAUUAUCACUACUCUUUUUUAAAAGAUAUGAUCAGCUGGGGACCUGAGCUUUUGGGCUUAUCAACUUAUUGUUUUAUUCGAAUGGUUUCUAAUUCUUAAUAAUUUUCUCCUUGUAGACUUGUAAAGUCAGACUUUUCUUUGACGUUUGCAUUAUUGACUGUGAUGCACUUGAUUCUCAGUUUCCUUAAAUAAUGUAUUAAUUUUCUUCAAUAGUCUGGUUGGGACUAAGACCAUUUUGUUUGAAUCUUUAAAGUCUAAUGAAAGGACCAUCCAUCCUUCUCCUUUUGUGCUGCUUUUGCAAUUUCCUACAUUUUGAUUCAGAGCUCCCCAUAAUUCCACGAUUUUAUGGUCUUAAUAUUUGUAACGAUGAAUUAUCUUUUUGAUCAUUUUCUAUUGGGAAUAUUUUGCAGAAUGAUACAACCUAUUUCGGUUCUGUUGUUGGACGGGUUGCUAACAGAAUCGGAGGCGCUCAAUUUACUUUAGAUGGAACCCAUUAUAAACUGGUUGCUAAUGAAAAGUCAAACAUGCUUCAUGGUACGUUUCUUGUGUUCACUUGCAUUAUCUGGAUUUUUUCCUGGUAAAAAAGAAAAAUGAAGUUGCUUAUUCUGUAUUUUUAAGAGACAACUUAUAUUUCUUUAGUGAUUUCUUAUAGGUGGCCCGAAAGGCUUUAGUGAUGUAAUCUGGAAAGUAAAGACCUACGAGAAUGAAGGUCCUACUCCUAAGAUUGUCUUCUCCUAUCAUAGCACUGAUGGUGAAGAAGGUCAGUGUAAUUUAAUUUUGAUUUUUAUCAGUGUAAUUUAAUUUUGAUUUUGAUUUUUUCAAAUUUUUGCUCUAAAAUACGUUAUGAAUGUGGUAGAAUGAUAUGUUUUCAUUUGGGUUGGGUGACUUUUGAACAUUCAUAUAUCUGCAACUUUUUGUAGGAUUCCCUGGUGAUCUCGAUGUCACUGUGAGUUACUCUCUCACCGGCGAGAAGGAACUAAGUGUAAAAAUGAAAGCCAAGGCUAGAAACAAGGCUACUCCAGUAAAUCUGGCUCAACACUCAUACUGGAACCUAGGUGGUCACAACAGUGGCGAUAUCCUUUCUCAAGAAGUCCAGAUUUUUGCUUCCAGCUAUACACCUGUUGAUGACCAGCUAAUUCCCACCGGGAAGAUUGAGACCGUUGAAGGAACUCCCUAUGAUUUCCUCCAGCCUCACGCAAUUGGCAGUAGCAUCGACAAGCUUCCUGUUGGCUAUGACAUUAACUAUGUGCUUGAUAAGGAUGAUUCCAGCAAAAAAAUGAGGAAGGUAGCAAUCGUGCACGAUAAGAAGUCAGGAAGAGUGAUGGAGCUGUUGGCAGAUCAACCUGGUGUGCAAUAUUACACUGGUGGCCAAAUUAAGGAAGUGAGGGGGAAAGGUGGCUUCGUGUAUAAGAAACAUGCAGGGCUGUGUCUGGAGACUCAAGCCUUCCCCGAUUCAGUAAAUCACCCUAAUUUUCCUAAUACCAUUGUGUAUCCUGGAGAGAAAUACAAGCAUCAUAUGCUGUAUAAAUUUUCCACCAAGUCAUAGAUGAUGUUUCAUAAUCAAGCCUUUCAUUGCCAAACCGGGAUGUCACCUGUUUUGUGUUGCUAUCCACAAUAGGUUAAUACUUUAUUCUUAAUGGUCUACAAUUUCAGAUUCUGUAAAAAGACAAAAUCAAGCUCCAAAUUAAAAUAAUCAAUAAAUUUAUGGCAAGGGAUUCUAAGCUCUUGUUGCCAUCAACAUUUGUUCUAGUUUCCUUUUACCAUAUCAUUCACUCGUUUUCUGUCCUUCCUGAGCUCUCUUUCCUGAAUUUUCCAGCUGUAACCUUACAGCGCACCAAAUUUUUCGUCACCUGAAACGAAAAAGUAGCUGUAUUAUAUAAGACUGAGCGCAUUUUUCCAAAACAGAUUCUUUCAAUUUGUAGGUGCACGAUGCUAAUUGCAUGCAAUACUUAAUAUAAGUCAUUACUUUCAUGGUUGAAUCGAGAGGAAAAAGAAAAAGUCAACUGAUCCCGUAAUCAUAUUUGCCUGCCUAACACGAUCAAUAAUAAUUCUGUCCUGUCAUAUGAAUGGAAGUUUGACCAUGUGACCACUUGACAUAAGCUUUGGACGGUCGAUUUUAUCGAUAAUCCUUAUGAGUUUUACAUAUUCUCAUAAUCCAAUCAAGUUGCAUACAUAAAACAAUUGUAGAUUCCAUAUUAAAACAGCACGAGGGUCCAUGAAAUGGACAAGGAGGAACCUUGACAUAAUGCGCUGCCUUUAUCAAGUCUUAACAAUCGAUCGGCUAAAAGCAUAAUAAAAUGUCUAGAAAAAGACUAAAUUGCCGCAUGUGCAAUGAUUUUUAGGCAACUCUCUUUCUCUCUCUCUCCCCAAAAGUCUUUCCUUUGCUAUAUAUACAAGAUCGUAGUCAGCAGCCCAUGUGAGAAGACCAAAGUGGUUUCAUCUUUUUGUGUAAGGAAAAUAAAAAAUGAGGAGUUCUCUGGUGCUGUGUUUUGUCGUGUUAGUUGCUUUUGGGUUUGUUGUUCAUGGUUCUGUAGCUAGUAAUGCCGUUGGAGUUUAUGAUCUCAAGAAGGGAAAUUUCUCUGUGAAGCUCACUAACUGGGGUGCCACUCUUAUUUCUGUUGUUCUUCCCGACAAGAAUGGUAUGUCUCUUCACUGUCUCUCUGUUUUUGACAUUUAAAUUCUGAUGAAUUAUUUGCUUUUGGCUGUGAAUCUUGUCUUAUCCAUUGCUUUUGUAUUGAUCAUUCAGGAAAGCUGAUUGAUGUUGCCCUUGGAUAUGAUUCAGUCAAUGACUACAAGGUGAUUUUUUCUCUUUUAAGUUUGUUUUUUUUUCUUCGUUGUUUUUGUUGCUUGUGAAAGGAAAUAAAUAUUGCCUGCUCUCUUUCUUACUUCUUUCUCACACACAAAAAGCUGCUGGUAUACAAUACUCCACCCGUGUAAUUGUAAUCUCCAGGCAGCCACACAACAUAUCAAACAGGUCCCAUCAGCUAUUGUAGCUGAGCAUUGGGUUUAUCAACCUAUUGUUUUAUUCAAAUAGUGUUCUGAACUCUGCAUUUGUAUCUUCUACAGUAGAAGUUCUACUGUUUUUUUGGGGGUAAGAUUGAUUUGGGUUUUUUUUGUAUCUGCUGUGUUUCAGCAUAAUUUUGAGAGCACAACAGCUGAAGUGUGACACCGUUAGUAAUAAAAAGUUGCAUCACAUCAAUCUCAAAACAAAACCUCAAUUAGAUGAUAUGGCAGAAUCAACAUUAGUAAAAGUCGGAUUUUUAAUUUUUAACAUGGUGUUUUUAUUUUUUAAUUUUUAAAUAAAAGACAGGUUGUUGGGGAAACCCAAUUAGCAAUUACGGAUGUGUUUAGAAGUGAGGUGCUGUAAUUUUUAAACUGUAGUUGCUGUGUAAUAAAAACUACAGUUGUAGAGUUAAAGUUAAGAAAAAAAAUUUGUUAAAUUAUCAAAACUCAACUACAAGUAUUACCAAAUACCUUAAUAACUGAGCUUUAACAGUUCAGCUACCUCACCACACUCCCAAACAGGCUAUAAAUCAUAUAAUAUACUUCGUUAAAAGGCUCUUUUAUUUAUGUGAACCGGCUCCAUAUAAAGCUUUUUUCAAAGGUAGAAUGGUAGUUCUGAGGGCAAGUACAGCUAAGAAAAGGGGAAAAAAAGCUAAUUUUAUUAACUUUUCUGUGAAGACUUUCAAAAAUGUAGCACAGUCUUUUAGGCCGACAAUUAGUAAUAGUUGGUCAAUUGUAUUAGCCAAAGUCCUUAGUUUUGGAAUUAGUGAUUCAAUUGCUUGAAGAUAUACAUGUGGCUUACAAGUUGGCCAUUUAAAAACUGAUUGAUCACGAUAGGCAAUAAGCUGAAGAGAUGGUGAUCUAGAGCCUUGUGUUGCCUUUUACAUUUCUUCUCAUUGACUUGAAAUGUCAAAUGUUGGCUUUGAAAUUUUCAAUUAUUUAAUGCGAUAUAUGAUUCAUCAUAACCUUAAACUUUCUUAAUAUAAUAUAUGAAUGCCACGUGAUAUGGAAACGCUUACCUGUUUGAAUCUUUCUUAAUGUCACUCAGAGACAGCUGGCUAUCGUGAAAAAUAUUGCAUUAUUGACUAACAAAUGGUCUACAUUGGCUGGCUAGUUCAGUGAAAUGUUCUCCUAUCUCUUGCUUUAUGGUUAAGUUUAUUCUUAGAAAAUUUUACCUAUCAAUCCAAGAGAAGAUAGAGUUUUCUUCAUCUCCUGGUUUUAUUGGGACUAAGACCAUGGCUGCUGUCAAAUUGUUUGAUUAAAAAGGUUCAUCCGUCAGAUGUGGCAUCUGUUGUUCCUGCACAUUGUCUAGCACUUGACUUUGCAGCAUACAAGAAGUUUUACUAUCUUUUCAAUGUUUUACAAAGAAAAUUUUGCACGUUCAUGUAGAAUGAUUCAUCUUACAUUGGAGCAACUGUUGGACGGGUUGCUAAUAGAAUCGGAGGUGCCCAAUUUACCUUGGACGGAAUCCAUUAUAAGCUAGUUGCCAAUGAAGGCAAAAACAUGCUUCACGGUACAAUUCUGCUUCUUUCAAGUAUUUUCUCAUUAAAAAAUGACAAAAUUGGAAAAAAAAAAUCAUUCAAUUGAAUUCCUCAUAUGAAUAUUAGGUGGCAAAAUAGGCUUUAGUGAUGUUGUUUGGAAAGUCGAGAAGUAUCAGAAUGAAGGCCAUGCUCCUCACAUUAUCUUUGCCUACCGCAGCUAUGAUGGCGAACAAGGUUGGUAUACGUAUAUUUUUUUCAUUUCUUUUAUCAUUACCUUUCAUCUUGGUGUAUGAUUUGUUGUUAACGUUCAUAUUUCUCCAAUCUUUCACAGGAUUCCCUGGGGAUCUCUCUGUCACUGUGGGCUACACUCUUGUUGGAGACAAGCAGCUGAGAGUAACAAUGAAAGCCAAAGCUCUAAACAAAGCUACUCCGGUAAAUCUAGCACAACACACAUACUGGAAUCUAGGUGGACACAACAGUGGUGAUAUCCUGUCCGAAGAAAUCCAGAUUUUUGCUUCUUACUUCACUCCAGUAGAUAGCCAAUUGAUUCCCACCGGACACAUUGUGUCUGUGAAAGGAACUCCCUAUGAUUUCCUCAAGCCUCACAUCGUUGGCAGCAGAAUCGACAAGCUUCCUCAUGGUUAUGACAUUAACUAUGUGCUUGAAGCCGGCUCUGGAAACAAAAUGAAGAAGGUAGCAGUUGUACACGAUAAGAAAUCCGGAAUAGUGAUGAAGCUGACGACGAAUCAACCUGGUGUGCAGUUUUACACGGCUAACUCUUUGAAGAAUGUGAAGGGAAAAGGUGGUUUUGUGUAUCAACCUCAUGCGGCACUUUGCCUUGAGACUCAAGCUUUCCCUGAUUCAGUGAAUCACCCCAACUUUCCUUCAACUAUAGUAAAUCCAGGGGAGACUUACAAGCAUCAUAUGGUGUUUAAGUUUUCAACUUCUGCUCCACAUUAUUAGUCGUUGAAGAUGUUUCAGUAGCAAGUCUUGUUAUGACAAAUAAAAGGUGUACCAUUGACAGUAUGAGGGACAACAGUUCUUCAAUGUUCGUUAUUUGAACAAGGCUUGAACAAUAAAAAUAAAUUUACAGAUGGGAAAAUUGAGCACCUAUAACAUUAUUAUUGUUCAUAUCUGUUCUGUUUUCUCUUUGCAGUAAUCCAUCAUAGGCUGCUUUCCAAGUUGGUCAUUUUCGCUUUUGUUAGAACAUUUGCAUUGGUUAUUAGUCGAUCAUCACUAUUUCAUUUCACCCUGUUAAACAAAUUCACAAGCUGAUUAGGUUGAUCCAUAUCAAUUGGUUCUUACCACGUCCACCCAGUUGAUAGUUUGUGAUUGUUUGGGGUUUAGAUUACCCAAGUACUGCAGAGUUUUAAGUGGAUCCAAAUAUUUGUAGCCCAACCGUGACAAAUAUAUAAUACUAAGUACAUCCACCAAAUCCAAUCUUCGUACGAAUUGAUGGACAAGACCAAAAAUUUAACGAAGCCCACUUGAGAGGAUCCCAAAUCCAAAUCUUUCCACAAUUACAUCGACAGCAAGUUGCAGAAGUCAAAGACAUGGCUCUGCUGCUGUCGUCUUCAUUUGUAAGCUCCACACAGCUUCCUUUCUCCACUUUCAACACAGGUUCUUUCAAUUUAUACACGCACGUAUGUCCCUUUUACAAUAAUGCCCACCCGCCGUGCACAGUAAAAUUAUAAACUUGCAAUACUGAUUCUUGUUACUGAUUUUGCAGAUAAAUGGAAUACUGGCAGAGUUAACAAAAACAGUUACUGUUUUACAAUGUGUUCUGUUUCUAACUCAUCAUCUUCUAAACCGAAGAGGGUGUGGAUAUGGACGGAGAGCAAGCAAGUGAUGACUGCUGCAGUUGAGAGAGGAUGGAACACUUUUGUUUUCUUGUCUGAAAAUCAACAACUUGCAAUAGAUUGGUCAAGUUAAGUGAAUUCCCAUUUUAGAAUUUGUUCUAAUUAAUAAAAAAACAAACGAAAGUUUUAAUUUUUAAUUUUUUAAAUGUGGAAUUUGUGUGCUUAUACAGCAAUUGCGUUGUUAGAUCCUCUGUUCAUUAAAGAGGGUGAGGUUUAUGAUAGUGGAGACAGAAGGGUUGGCUCCAUUAUUGAGGUUUCAACUCCACAAGAGUUACAGCAGCUUCAACCGGCAGAUGGGCAAGCCGAAAAUAUUGUCAUUGAUUUGCCGGACUGGCAGGUAUGCUAAUUUUCUUGUUUGUUUUGUAUUGGUUAAAUCAAUUUGAUGUGAGACAAUUAGAUUUUAGAUUAUGAUAUUGAGGUUGGAUGAGGAGUGUUGACAAUGAGAUCACUAUGCAUUACAUCACUGGGAUUUAGGCCCUUUUGUAGAGGUUUCCUGCUCAGUUGGGACCUGGUUUUGUGCUUGUUAGGUUAUACCUGCUGAAAAUAUUGUUGCAUCAUUUCAAGGCAGUGGCAAAACAGUGUUUGCCAUCUCAAAGACUCCUUCUGAAGCACAAAUUUUUCUUGAGGUACCUCUUUAUAAUCUCCAUUCAACCAGAAAAUGAAAUUUUGGUUUCAAACUCAAUAGUUUUUUAAUUCAUCAAUCAUUUGUGUAUCCAGGCCUUGGAGCAAGGUCUGGGUGGAAUCGUUCUGAAAGUUGAGGAUGUUAAAGCUGUUCUUGCGCUCAAGGUAAUUUGUUUUUGGGCUGGACUUCCUGGGCAGUGAGGCAUUGGCCCUUACCCUUUUUACAAUUAUCAGGAAUAUUUUGAUGGAAGAAAUGAAGUAAGCAAUCUCCUUAGCUUGAUGAAAGCCACUGUAACUCGAGUUGAUGUAGCUGGAAUGGGUGACCGAGUUUGUGUGGACCUUUGUAGCCUUAUGAGACCUGGUGAAGGACUCCUAGUACACUUCUAGCCUCUCUUCUGCAAUUCUGUGGCUGUUGUUGUCUAUUCUUUAUCUGAUUGUACAAGUAUUGUUUUAUAGGUUGGAUCCUUUGCUAGAGGACUAUUCCUCGUUCAUUCAGAAUGCUUGGAGUCAAAUUACAUUGCCAGCAGGCCUUUUCGAGUUAAUGCGGUUAGUUUUAAUGCUCUUAGUUUUGCAUAAUUAUUGUGACAGAUGAAUGGUCAUCUCAUGCUACUUACAGUAAUUGUAUUGGUAGUUUUCAAUUUUCCCUUUUUUAUUCGGGAAGUGGAGACAUAUGACGGUACACAAGCAGCUUUUUAUAUUAGGAGAAUAUAUAGGAAUACUUUUCUUCUAUAUGAAUAAUAAGAAGCAUCUUUUGAGGGGAAAAAGAAAAACUUAUUGUUUUUACAUGAACACUAUGGUAGUUUCUGUGACCAGUGGUUUUUGUUAUUCUGUGCUACAUUUAUCCAACUUUUAUCACCUAUUUACUUUGGUAAUUGGCAGGGGCCAGUGCAUGCCUAUGUACUUGUCCCAGGAGGAAAGACUUGCUAUCUUUCAGAGUUGAAAUCAGGCAAAGAGGUGAUUGUGGUUGAUCAAAAAGGGCGGCAGCGAACGGCAGUAGUUGGCCGUGUGAAGAUAGAGUCUAGACCUCUUAUACUUGUAGAGGCAAAGGUUUGUCUUGCAUACCAUUGUUAAAUAAGUUUUAGUAAGGUCUUAAGCAAAUUUAUCUGUGGGUCAAGUUCUAAGUGUGCAAUCAGUUAUCACACCGAACUUUUUCAAUUUGACAAAUCCAUUGAAAUCUCUAAUAGGCACUUGCUCUAGCGGGGCAUAGCGAGCCAUCUCUUUUUCUCUGGUUUCUAGUCUGCACGAGCUCAUCUCUAAUUCCUUCCAGCAUUGCAGUCAAUGGAUAAAUUUUUAUUUUUAUUUUUUUAAUAUCACGGAAUAAUUCUGCUGAUGCAGACUAAUUCAGGUGAUCAAACUCUUUACGGCAUCAUCCUACAGAAUGCAGAAACAGUAGCCUUGGUUAGUCCCUGCAAAGGUAUACCAUUUAUUCUAGUUGUCAUUUUUGGCUUCUGGAAGUUCUGGGUUUAGUCUUUGUUUCCUUCAUCUCAUGAACCUUGCUGACUUAUCUUCUACAGGAACUGGAGAGCAGGAAAAAGCAAUCCCUGUGACAUCACUGAAAGUUGGCGAUGAAGUAUUGCUAAGAGUACAAGGAGCAGCCCGGCAUACUGGAAUAGAAAUUCAAGAAUUCAUUGUUGAGAAUUGAAGGAGAAAGAUGACAUAUUUCUGCAGCGAAAUUUGUUCCAGACAUUUUUGAAUAUGAUGGAAAAGAAGAUUGUUGUCACUUUCAAAGCCUUGAAUCUGCAUCUGAAGGUUACAAACAAAUGGAUGAUUGGAUGUUAUCAUGCAAAUGCAACUGUGAGGACUUUACUUCAUAUUAAGUGAAAUGUGUCUCCAAUCAAUUUUCUACCAUUACUUUUUUAUUCCUUGAAAUGACUUGUGUACCUUGCCCAAGAAUUCGUCUAUAUUGAAGAAUACAUUGGGACUUAUUUGUUCCCUAGAAAUGAGAAAAAAGCUAACUGUUCAUCUUAUUAUACAACAAAUAACCGCAAUGAAUUCGGCACCAUUUAACAAAUUAAACAUCAUAUUAUACGGCCAUACGACAUCCGAAAUUGUUUCAAGAAAACCAAUCUUAAAAGACUCGUAUUCUUGAGAAAAAAUCUUAUUUUCUCCGUUUAUUUUCUGAUCUUAUCAGUUGGAAAAUCAUAAACAAUACGGGUUAUUUCCCUUUUGCACGAAACAGUAUAAUGUGAUCGCAUGAUCUCAUUAUUAAACUCUUAUAUUGACUAUUUGUUUCAUUGGCCGCACUCUUAAUCAUUGAUCGAUUGAUUAGUACAUCUUAUUGAGUCUUGAUCCUGGAUUAUUCUUGUGUUAAUAUUAUAAUGGAUUGAAAUAAAAUCUUUUCAUUUGUUUAACAAAGUCUUGAAGCCUCAUGGGCCAUGAUUUAAUUUCAUUCUCUGUUGAUCAUUAUGCUCAACAAGAUAGUUGAAUAUAGUGGUGUUGACUUGACUUACAAGUCUUCUCAAAGGGGGAAAAAGGAGGAAAAAAAAAAAGGACUUUGAUAAUGGAGGGAAUUGCAGCAGAUGAGUGUUUGUUUGCUUCAGUAGAGAAGGGAGAGGAGCUGUCCGUUGAGUUGAAAUGUUUUAAAAUGAGGAUAGCUUAGUAAUUUUCUAUCAGUCUUUAAAUGGUAUCGAUGAAAAUUUUGGCAAAAACAAAUUUUAGGGUAUUGAGAUAAUUUUUGAAGUAUGGAGGUGUACCGGGCGCAAUUGGCACGGGGAACUUUGGUCUUGGAGAAGUUGAAAUAUUGUCUGUCUCUGAUCCUGAUGCUCUUGCCAAAGCUGGGUCUUAAUCUUGUCUGCUAAAUCAGAAUCCUCUUUCCCCUGGAAACCCAAAAGCUAUUUUCUUGAGGUGAGGCUUUAUUGUUUGUUGCAGGCAUGUCGUGUGUUGCUUGUUUUGGGGCACUGACGUGUAAUUGACUUUUUAUAACGCCGUAUCUUUAUGUCCAAAUUGUGUUGAGAUCAGAUGAUAAGUGUUUCUUUUUACUUUCAGCUUCCCUUGAUGGUUCAGUUCUUUUCUGUAUAUGCAAUAGAAAAUAAACAAAAUUAGCCAAGCUGUACCAAAUGCUUGAUAUAUAUUCGAUUUUUCACUCUCCUCAUAAUUUAGAGGAUUAAGAUAGAAUUUGAGAAUAUAUAUUCUUUUUUCACUUCUCCUUGUUAGGUAGAUGUGAUCAUGAUCUACUUCAGCAGCAUUCUACAUUGCCCAGCCAUGAUACAUCUGCUGUACCGUACAUCCGCCUUGGCCGUACAGCAGAAUGUGUCUCCAAUCAAUUUUCUACCAUUACUUUUUUAUUCCUUGAAAUGACUUGUGUACCUUGCCCAAGAAUUCGUCUAUAUUGAAGAAUACAUUGGGACUUAUUUGUUCCCUAGAAAUGAGAAAAAAGCUAACUGUUCAUCUUAUUAUACAACAAAUAACCGCAAUGAAUUCGGCACCAUUUAACAAAUUAAACAUCAUAUUAUACGGCCAUACGACAUCCGAAAUUGUUUCAAGAAAACCAAUCUUAAAAGACUCGUAUUCUUGAGAAAAA
rnacentral:lncRNA from 1 species